rnacentral:tRNA from 1 species
GCAUUGAUAGCUCAAAAUUUAGAGCAUCGGUCUUGUAAGCCGAAUGUUGAAGGUUAAAGUCCUUCUUAAUGCU